UACGUAGGGUGCGAGCGUUAAUCGGAAUUACUGGGCGUAAAGGGUGCGUAGGUGGUGAGGUAAGUCGGAUGUGAAAUCUCCGGGCUUAACCCGGAAACUGCAUUGGAAACUACCUUGCUAGAGGUUUUGAGGGGGGACUGGAAUUCUCGGUGUAGCAGUGAAAUGCGUAGAUAUCGAGAGGAACACCGGUGGCGAAGGCGAGUCCCUGGAAAACACCUGACACUGAGGCACGAAAGCUAGGGGAGCAAACAGG
rnacentral:rRNA from 1 species